UUGUACCUUUUGCUUACACUUGUGACUCAUAUUUUUACUCUUAUUUUUAGUCCCUAGAGUCAAGGAAAACCAAUUGUAUGUCCAGAGAAGAGUUCAUGCAGAAGAUGACAGAGAUUGUUGGUUGGGGCACACAGGAAGAAUAUGGCGAGCUCUUUGAUAAAGUGGAUGUGGACCAAGAUGGCUUUAUUAAUUGGGACAAAUUGACUUCAUUUAUACUGUUAUCGCUUUAUGAGAAAGAUGAACGAGAAAAAGCAACUGUGGUUCCCCAGUGGAAGGACCUUGAAUUCCUCGAAGGAAAACACAAGGACACCAUCCAAAAAGUAAUUUUCUUAAAGAGUUCAAGUCGUUACAUAACUAUUAGCAAAGAAGGUUUGCUGGGAAUCUGGGGAGAGAAUUUAAAGCUCCAAGAAACACUUCCCAUCACUUCUGAUGCCACUAAGCUCAAACACCUGUGGGUGACAAGUCUGGUUUCCCUGGAAAAUGCAAACAAGAUAGCGGUGACAUUUACAAGCAAAGAGAUUUGUUUCUAUGAUCUGCUGUCUGAAGAAUUUCCUUGUCAAUACAAACUCCAAGGCCUGAAAGGAACACCAAUUUGUAUGGAUUAUUGGUACAAUCCUCUUGAUGCCAAUGAAUCAAUUCUUUCCUUAGGAGAUACAGCUGGAAAGGUUCGAGCAAUUGUUUUCACAGCAGCUUUGAUUUCCCUGUUUGAAAAGCCUGUUAGUACAUGGGAAGAUGAAGAAGCCACUAUGACCAUUAACUGGGA
rnacentral:lncRNA from 1 species